ensembl:snoRNA SNORD14 Small nucleolar RNA SNORD14
UCACAAUGAUGAAUGGUCCAAACAUUCGCGGUUUCCACCAGAAAUCCAGAUGUUGGCAACUAGCUUCCUUCCUUGGAUGUCUGAGUGA